GAUGAACGCUGACAGCAUGCUUAACACAUCAGCAAUUGAUUGGUGGCGGAAGGGUGAGUAACGCGUAAAGAACUUACCUCCCAGUUCGUGACAACAUUUGGAAACGAAUGCUAAUACCUAAUACUGUGAGAGAUCUUUGCGUCCCAUUAGCUAGUUGGAGAGGUAACGGCUCACAAAGGCGAUGAUGGGUAGCCGGCCUGAGAGGGUGAUCGGGCACAAGGUGACUGAGACACGGGCCUUACGCCUACGGGAGGAAUCAGUGGGGAAUAGUCGACGAAGGACCAAAGUGUGAUCCAGCAAUUCUGUGUGCAAGAUGAAGUUUUCGGAAUGUAAAGUGCUUUCAGUUGGGAAGCGGUACCAACAGAAGAAGGGACGGCUAAAUACGUGCCAGCAGCCGCGGUAAUAC
rnacentral:rRNA from 1 species